UGAACGCUAGCGGCAGGCUUAACACAUGCAAGUCGAGGGGCAGCACGUCUUCGGAUGGUGGCGACCGGCGCACGGGUGCGUAACGCGUAUAGAACCUACCUUUUACGAGGGGAAUAGCCCAGAGUAAAUUUGGAUUAAUCGCCCCAUAGUAUUAUUGAGUGGCAUCAUUUAGUAAUUAAACAUUUAUGGGUAAAAGAUGGCUAUGCGUUCUAUUAGCUAGAUGGUAAGGUAACGGCUUACCAUGGCGACGAUAGAUAGGGGUCCUGAGAGGGAGAUCCCCCACACUGGUACUGAGACACGGACCAGACUCCUACGGGAGGCAGCAGUGAGGAAUAUUGGACAAUGGGCGAGAGCCUGAUCCAGCCAUGCCGCGUGCAGGAAGACGGCCCUAUGGAUUGUAAACUGCUUUUAUACAGGAAGAAACAUUCCCUCGUGAGGGAACUUGACGGUACUGUAUGAAUAAGCACCGGCUAACUCCGUG
rnacentral:rRNA from 1 species